rnacentral:rRNA from 1 species
ACCGGAGCUAAUACCGGAUGAUAUUUUGAACCGCAUGGUUCAAAAGUGAAAGACGGUCUUGCUGUCACUUAUAGAUGGAUCCGCGCUGCAUUAGCUAGUUGGUAAGGUAACGGCUUACCAAGGCAACGAUGCAUAGCCGACCUGAGAGGGUGAUCGGCCACACUGGAACUGAGACACGGUCCAG